UACGUAGGAUGCUAGCGUUGUCCGGAUUUAUUGGGCGUAAAGAGCUCGUAGGCGGCUCAGUAAGUCAGGUGUGAAAACUCCAGGCUCAACCUGGAGACGCCACCUGAUACUGCUGUGGCUAGAGUCCGGUAGGGGAGCAUGGAAUUCCUGGUGUAGCGGUGAAAUGCGCAGAUAUCAGGAGGAACACCAGUGGCGAAGGCGGUGCUCUGGGCCGGAACUGACGCUGAGGAGCGAAAGCGUGGGGAGCAAACA
rnacentral:rRNA from 1 species